AACGAACGCUGGCGGCAGGCCUAACACAUGCAAGUCGAGCGAGCGGCGGACGGGUGAGUAUUGUCCGGGAAACUGCCUGACGGAGGGGGAUAACUACUGGAAACGGUAGCUAAUACCGCAUACCAUCAGCAGUGCCCAGAUGGGAGUAGCUAGUAGGUGGGGUAAUGGCUCACAUUGGAGACGAAACCUAGCUGGUCUGAGAGGAUGACCAGCCACACUGGAACUGAGACACGGUCCAGACUCCUACGGGAGGCAGCAGUGGGGAAUAUUGCGCAAUGGGCGCAAGCCGGAUGCAGCCAGGCCGCGUGGGUGAAGAAGGCCUUCGGUUUGUAAAGCACUUUCAUCGGGGAGGCGGUACCCGCAGAAGAAGCACCGGCUAACUCCGUGCCAGCAGCCGCGGUAAUAC
rnacentral:rRNA from 1 species